rnacentral:rRNA from 1 species
UACAGAGGUCUCAAGCGUUGUUCGGAUUCAUUGGGCGUAAAGGGUGCGUAGGCGGCGCGGUAAGUCGGGUGUGAAAUCUUGGAGCUUAACUCCGAAACUGCAUUCGAUACUGCCGUGCUUGAGGACUGGAGAGGAGACUGGAAUUUACGGUGUAGCGGUGAAAUGCGUAGAUAUCGUAAGGAAGACCAGUGGCGAGGGCGGGUCUCUGGACAGUUCCUGACGCUGAGGCACGAAGGCCAGGGGAGCAAACGGG